rnacentral:rRNA from 1 species
GACGAACGCUGGCGGCGUGCUUAACACAUGCAGGUCGAACGGAAAGGCCCUGCUUUUGUGGGGUGCUCGAGUGGCGAACGGGUGAGUAACACGUGAGUAACCUGCCCUUGACUUUGGGAUAACUUCAGGAAACUGGGGCUAAUACCGGAUAGGAGCUCCUGCUGCAUGGUGGGGGUUGGAAAGUUUCGGCGGUUGGGGAUGGACUCGCGGCUUAUCAGCUUGUUGGUGGGGUAGUGGCUUACCAAGGCUUUGACGGGUAGCCGGCCUGAGAGGGUGACCGGCCACAUUGGGACUGAGAUACGGCCCAGACUCCUACGGGAGGCAGCAGUGGGGAAUAUUGCACAAUGGGCGGAAGCCUGAUGCAGCAACGCCGCGUGCGGGAUGACGACCUUCGGGUUGUAAACCGCUUUCGCCUGUGACGAAGCGUGAGUGACGGUAAUGGGUAAAGAAGCACCGGCUAACUACGUG